rnacentral:rRNA from 1 species
GACGAACGCUGGCGGCGUGCUUAACACAUGCAAGUCGAACGGUAAGGCCCUUCGGGGUACACGAGUGGCGAACGGGUGAGUAACACGUGGGUGAUCUGCCCUGCACUUCGGGAUAAGCCUGGGAAACUGGGUCUAAUACCGGAUAGGACUCCUGGCUUCAUGGUUGGGGGUGUAAAGCUUUUGCGGUGUGGGAUGGGCCCGCGGCCUAUCAGCUUGUUGGUGGGGUAAUGGCCUACCAAGGCGACGACGGGUAGCCGGCCUGAGAGGGUGACCGGCCACACUGGGACUGAGAUACGGCCCAGACUCCUACGGGAGGCAGCAGUGGGAAUAUUGCACAAUGGGCGCAAGCCUGAUGCAGCGACGCCGCGUGAGGGAUGACGGCCUCGGUU